rnacentral:rRNA from 1 species
UACGUAGGGGGCGAGCGUUGUCCGGAAUCACUGGGCGUAAAGAGCGCGUAGGCGGUCAGUUAAGUCGGCUGUGAAAUCCCCCGGCCCAACCGGGGUAGGUCAGCCGAUACUGGUUGACUUGAGGGUGGCAGAGGAAAGUGGAAUUCCCGGAGUAGUGGUGAAAUGCUUAGAGACCGGGAGGAACACCAGUGGCGAAGGCGGCUUUCUGGGCUACACCUGACGCUGAGGCGCGAAGGCGUGGGGAGCAAACAGG